GAAACACCCUUAUAGGGCAGGACUUGUUUUAGUGUGGCUUUGGCGCUCACUGAGUCUGCCCCCUGAGUGUGUCCCU
rnacentral:pre_miRNA from 1 species